AUUGAACGCUGGCGGCAGGCCUAACACAUGCAAGUCGAACGAGUGGAGGAAGGGUGAGUAAUGUCCGGGAAACUGCCCGAUGGAGGGGGAUUACUACUGGAAACGGUAGCUACUACCGCACACCAUCGGCUAUGCCCAGAUGGGAGUAGCUAGUAGGUGGGGUAACGGCUCACCUAGGCGAUGAUCCAUAGCUGGUCUGAGAGGAUGACCAGCCACACUGGAACGACGACACGGUCCAGACUCCUACGGGAGGCAGCGGUGGGGAAUAUUGCACAAUUGGCGCAAGCCUGAUGCAGCCAUGCCGCGUGUAUGAAGAAGGCCUUCGGGUUGUAAAGUACUUUCAGCGGGGAAGCGUUACUCGCAGAAGAAGCACCGGCUAACUCCGUGCCAGCAGCCGCGGUAAUAC
rnacentral:rRNA from 1 species